rnacentral:tRNA from 1 species
GGCGGUGUAGCUCAGGGGUAGAGCAGACGGCUCAUAUCCGUCAUGUCCGGGGUUCAAAUCCCUGCACCGCCA